UAUCAAAUGAUAUUUUUAGGUCCUUUAAGUACAGUGUGAAUAUUGCGAAGUUAAAUCUUGUAAAAGAUUUGGGAAAAGUUUAUUGAAAAGUUCCAGAUAGCUGAUUUAAAAUUAUAAAAUUAGCUAUUCAAAAAAGGAGUUAAAAAUGUUUAAUAUUUAUAAUUACUAUUGCGAGAUAUAGAGUUGGUAUUUUGUACCAACAUUCUAAGACUCUUUAAUUGAUCUUUGAAGAGAUGUGAAAGGAACAUCGAAGUCCACGUUUCUACGCAUUUUAUUGGCCAAUAUAAGACGAUGAACGUAUUCCGUAUCUUUG
rnacentral:lncRNA from 1 species